rnacentral:rRNA from 1 species
AGCAGCCGCGGUAAUUCCAGCUCCAAUAGCGUAUAUUAAAGUUGUUGCAGUUAAAAAGCUCGUAGUUGAACCUCGGGAUCAAUUGAUCGGUCAUGCCAUUGGUAUGUACUGGUCAUAUUGGUUCUCACCUUCUAAGGAACCUUAAUGUCAUUAAUUUGAUGUUUUGGGGAAUUAGGACUGUUACCUUGAAAAAAUUAGAGUGUUUAAAGCAGGCUAACGCUUGAAUACAUUAGCAUGGAAUAAUGAAAUAGGACAUCGCAUUCUAUUUUGUUGGUUUCUAGGAUCGAUGUAAUGAUUAAUAGGGAUAGUUGGGGGCAUUAGUAUUCAAUUGUCAGAGGUGAAAUUCUUGGAUUUAUUGAAGACUAACUACUGCGAAAGCAUUUGCCAAGGAUGUUUUCAUUAAUCAAGAACGAAAGUUAGGGGAUCGAAGACGAUCAGAUACCGUCGUAGUCUUAACCAUAAACUAUGCCGACUAGGGAUCGGAUGAUGUUGAUUUUUUAAUGACUC